UUUAAGAGAUUGCAGUCGUAAAAUAAAAUUACUCUCUUAGUAAGUGGUUUCACAUUUUAAUAUUUUAAUCACGAGUUCGAUUAAAUCAACCACCAAAUUAACGAGAAGAAAAAAAGAUGCGGGUGCCUUUCUCUCAUGUGUUUCGAUUAUUAUGCCUGAUGCUCCUCUUAUCUCAAGUCGCUUGCAGAAGAGGCAGAUUUGCAGAUAAGCCAAAGUCACCACCACGAGGCCCUAUGAGAGGGCCGCCUUCAGGACGUCCAUGAGAACAAAAAUGGACUUUGACUCUGGGAGUACGCAAUUCUCUUGUCACCGUUUUAGUGAAUUAAGAUUAAUCUUUAAUUUACAGAGUCGGAUUAGCAUUCAAAAAAUUGAAUUAAAUAAUUGUUAUAGCUCGGUUCUUCUGUAGUAUUUCCUUUCGGUUGUCUUUAAGAAUUUUCUGUCAUCGGAUAUUAUAAUCUUUUUUAUUUUUCUUUCUUAAGAAACAAAUUCUGUGGAUUUCCGGUAUUGUUGUAAAGGUUAGAAACAAAUUCUACGAAUUUUUGUAAAUGCCAAAAGGAAGAAGCGAGCUUGCCAUGUGUUAUAUAGAAAAAAAAAAAGAAUUA